GUGUGUACUUACAACAUAGCAUUAAUGCAUCGGAUCCCAUUAGAACUCUGCAGUUAAGUGCACUCGGGCUAGAGUAGUAUUGGGAUGGGUGACCGCCCGAGAUGUCCUAGUGUUUUACAUGCC
rnacentral:rRNA from 1 species